GACAUAUCCUUCGAAGGUGUGCCCUAUCAACUGUCGACUGUGGCAUAGACGCCCACAGUGGUUUUGACGGGUAACGGGGAAUCAGGGUUCGAUUCCGGAGAGGGAGCCUGAGAAACGGCUACCACAUCUAAGGAAGGCAGCAGCUGCGUAAAUUACCCAAUCCUGACUCAGGGAGGUAGUGACAAGAAAUCACAAUAUUUGGUCCUCAUGGGUUAAAUAAUUGUAUUGAGAACAGGCUAAACAUGUUAUCGAUAAACUAUUGGAGGGCAAGUCUGGUGCCAGCAGCCGCGGUAAUUCCAGCUCCAAUAGCGUAUACUAACGUUGUUGCAGUUAAAAAGCUCGUAGUUGGAUUUUUAAGGGUGCCAGCUAGGCUAGGCCUUAAGUGUCUUUGCCUAGGAUGGUUCCUCUUAUUUUGCGCUUACGCUCGAUUGGGAUUCGUUUCCUGAUUGUGCAGUCGGCGCGUGUUUACUUUGAGAAAAUUAGAGUGUUCAAAACAGUCUCACGAUUGUAUAUCAUAGCAUGGAAUAAUAACUGAUGACUUCGGUCAAUUUUUUAUUGGUUUGGAUGGCUGAUGUAAUGAUUGAUAGAGUUAGUCGGAGGUAUUAGUAUUUUAUCGUUAGAGGUGAAAUUCACGGAUCGAUAAAAGACUAACAACUGCGAAAGCAUUUAUCUAGGAUUUGCUCUUUGAUCAAGAACGAAAGUUGGGGGAUCGAAGACGAUCAGAUACCGUCGUAGUCUCAACUUUAAACUAUACCAGCUAGGGAUUGGUGGGAGUUUUAUGACCUCAUCAGAACCUUAUGAGAAAUCAAAGCAUUUGGGUUCCGGGGGGAGUAUGGUCGCAAGGCUGAAACUUAAAGGAAUUGACGGAAGGGCACCACCAGCCGUGGAGCCUGUGGCUUAAUUUGACUCAACACGGGAAAACUUACCAGGUCCAGACAUAGUAAGGAUUGACAGAUUGACAGCUCUUUCUUGAUUCUAUGGGUGGUGGUGCAUGGCCGUUCUUAGUUUGUGGAGUGAUUUG
rnacentral:rRNA from 1 species